GAUGAACGCUGGCGGCGUGCCUAAUACAUGCAAGUAGAACGCUGAAGGAGGAGCUUACUCUUCUGGAUGAGUUGCGAACGGGUGAGUAACGCGUAGGUAACCUGCCUGGUAGCGGGGGAUAACUAUUGGAAACGAUAGCUAAUACCGCAUGACAACAGUUAUUGCAUGAUAACUGUUUAAAAGGGGCAACUGCUCCACUACCAGAUGGACCUGCGUUGUAUUAGCUAGUUGGUGAGGUAACGGCUCACCAAGGCGACGAUACAUAGCCGACCUGAGAGGGUGAUCGGCCACACUGGGACUGAGACACGGCCCAGACUCCUACGGGAGGCAGCAGUAGGGAAUCUUCGGCAAUGGACGGAAGUCUGACCGAGCAACGCCGCGUGAGUGAAGAAGGUUUUCGGAUCGUAAAGCUCUGUUGUAAGAGAAGAACGAGUGUGAGAGUGGAAAGUUCACACUGUGACGGUAUCUUACCAGAAAGGGACGGCUAACUACGUG
rnacentral:rRNA from 1 species